UACGGAGUGUGCAAGCGUUACUCGGAAUCACUGGGCAUAAAGCGCGCGUAGGCGGGUAUUCAAGUCGGUUGUGAAAUCCCCCAGCUCAACUGGGGAACUGCAUCCGAUACUGUCUGUCUUGAGGACGAGAGGGGAGAGUGGAACUUCUGGUGGAGCGGUGAAAUGCGUAGAUAUCAGGAGGAACACCGAUUGCGAAGGCAGCUCGCUGGGACGUAACUGACGCUGAGACGCGAAAGCGUGGGGAGCAAACAGG
rnacentral:rRNA from 1 species